GACGAACGCUGGCGGCGUGCUUAACACAUGCAAGUCGAACGGAAAGGCCCUGCUUGCAGGGUACUCGAGUGGCGAACGGGUGAGUAACACGUGGGUGAUCUGCCCUGCACUUCGGGAUAAGCUUGGGAAGCUGGGUCUAAUACCGGAUAGGAGCCAUCUUUAGUGUGGUGGUUGGAAAGUUUUUUCGGUGUAGGAUGAGCUCGCGGCCUAUCAGCUUGUUGGUGGGGUAAUGGCCUACCAAGGCGGCGACGGGUAGCCGGCCUGAGAGGGUGUACGGCCACAUUGGGACUGAGAUACGGCCCAGACUCCUACGGGGGGCAGCAGUGGGGAAUAUUGCACAAUGGGCGCAAGCCUGAUGCAGCGACGCCGCGUGGGGGAUGAAGGCCUUCGGGUUGUAAACUCCUUUCGCUAGGGACGAAGCUUUGUUGUGACGGUACCUAGAUAAGAAGCACCGGCUAACUACGUG
rnacentral:rRNA from 1 species